UACGUAGGGAGCAAGCGUUGUCCGGAAUGACUGGGCGUAAAGGGUGCGUAGGCGGUUUCGUAAGUUAGAAGUGUAAUCCCGGGGCUUAACCCCGGAGCUACUUCUAAGACUGCGGGACUUGAGUGUGGGAGAGGUAAGUGGAAUUCCUAGUGUAGCGGUGGAAUGCGUAGAUAUUAGGAGGAACACCAGUGGCGAAGGCGGCUUACUGGACCAUAACUGACGCUGAGGCACGAAAGCGUGGGGAGCAA
rnacentral:rRNA from 1 species